rnacentral:lncRNA from 1 species
CGCGGCCGCUCAGCCUCCAGGGCCCGUCCGGCCCGCGCCCAUGCACUCGGAGGAGCCCCGGCCGGCCGAGGGCGAGGGAAGGUCCGGGCGCUCCUGCCGCCGCCGCCGCCGCCGCCGGCCGCUGGCGAACUUGCGCUGCAAGUUGGGAGGAAAGUGCCGGCCGGGGCCGGGGAGGGAGCCGGGCGCGGGCGGCGCGGCGCGCGGGGGAGGGCGGACCGGGCAGGGGGCGGGGCCGGCGCGCUCCAGGGCUCGGGCCGCACGGCGGGCAGGGGGCGGGGCGCGCGCUGGGCUCCCGAGCGCUGCCCGGAGGGCGGGAGGGGCAGGGGGAGGCGCGCGCUCCGGCACCCGCGCGGCCGCCGGGGGCUAGAGGGGCUAGGGGCGCUCGGGGGCAGGGGUGCGCGCCCGGGGCUCCCCCCGAGUGGCCCCGAGGGCGGGAGGGGGCGAGGGCCGGCACGCGCACGGGACCAGUGCCGCCGGCCAGGGAUGGGCGUGCGCGCUCGGCACUGCCCCACUAGUAACCCAGAGGGUGGGAGAGGGCGAGGGCCGGCGCGCGCACGAACCUGUGCGGCUCGCCGGAUGCAGGCGCGCGCUCCGGCCCCCCCGCCCCGGUUACCCGGAGGGUGGGAGGGGGCCGGGGUGCGCGCUCCGGACCACGCGCGGCGCCGCGGGGUCGGGGGGCGUCGGGCUGCUACGCGAUGUCCGGCCCUUCCUCCCGCGCCAGCGCCGGGCGGCCCUGGGAGGCUCGGGGCGCGCCAGCUCUCCGCCCGGGAGGCCGAGUCGCGGCAGUUACGUAGCUGGACGCUGGUGAUUGCCUGUUUCUUCAAAGCAGCUCCAUCCAGGUACUUUGAGCCGGUGAGGAUGGAAUAGGCAGCAAAAAAAGCUCAGAGACCACUGGUCAGAAAGAGUGAGGGGUUCCUGUCACUGUCGAGCAGGGACAAGGAAUCUCAACUCCGGUCUCAGGUUCUUCAGUGGUCACAUGAGGGAUUUCCAUUCUGUGGUCUGCAUCUUGUGGCCGAUCCUUUUGUGCCUCAUCCAGGCAAUUGAAGUAAGAGUGCAAACUUCACUGGGCACUUGUCAUGGCCCUGAGCAGUGAUUAGUGCCCCAUAAGUAACUUCCAAGCUACAGUGUCCAGAAUGUCUCGUUAGGGGGAUGAGGUGAUUUUUUUUUUUCUUUGUAAACGGAGACUUGAGUGUGCAAUCCAUCUUAAGUGUACCUUGACUGUCCUGGUGAUGCAAAUCUGCACAAAUUGAUUAAAUUGCACAGAACUAAAUACACAGGAGUACGUGUAAAAUGAGGAAAUCGAAGUAAGCUGGGUAGAUUGUAUCUGUUAAUAUUCUGACCGUGAGGUGCAGGGCAGAGGAUGUCCCUAUAUUGUUUCUUAAAACCAGAUUGAAUCUGUAAUUAUCUUCAGAUAAAAAGUUUAAAAACUGGACAGAUAAUGAGAAACCAAAAGAGAGAGGACCAUAUAAAUGCACCUAGAAUUUUUGGAAGUUCCCUAGUCUCAAAACAGCGCCCCCACCCCUCCCC